rnacentral:rRNA from 1 species
GACGAACGCUGGCGGCGUGCUUAACACAUGCAAGUCGAACGGAAAGGCCCUGCUUUUGUGGGGUGCUCGAGUGGCGAACGGGUGAGUAACACGUGAGUAACCUGCCCUUGACUUUGGGAUAACUUCAGGAAACUGGUGCUAAUACCGGAUAGGAGCUCCUGCUGCAUGGUGGGGGUUGGAAAGUUUCGGCGGUUGGGGAUGGACUCGCGGCUUAUCAGCUUGUUGGUGGGGUAGUGGCUUACCAAGGCUUUGACGGGUAGCCGGCCUGCGAGGGUGACCGGCCACAUUGGGACUGAGAUACGGCCCAGACUCCUACGGGAGGCAGCAGUGGGGAAUAUUGCACAAUGGGCGGAAGCCUGAUGCAGCAACGCCGCGUGCGGGAUGACGGCCUUCGGGUUGUAAACCGCUUUCGCCUGUGACGAAGCGUGAGUGACGGUAAUGGGUAAAGAAGCACCGGCUAACUACGUG